UACGAAGGGGGCUAGCGUUGCUCGGAAUUACUGGGCGUAAAGCGCACGUAGGCGGUCUUUUAAGUCGGGGGUGAAAUCCUGGAGCUCAACUCCAGAACUGCCUUCGAUACUGGAAGACUUGAGUCCGGGAGAGGUGAGUGGAACUGCGAGUGUAGAGGUGAAAUUCGUAGAUAUUCGCAAGAACACCAGUGGCAGAAGGGCGGAC
rnacentral:rRNA from 1 species